AGAGUUUUGAAGCUUGCUUUAGAACUCGGACAGCGGCGAAAGGGAGAGUAACGCGUAGUUAUGUACCCUAGGGUCCGGAAUAGCCACGGGAAACUGUGGGUAAUGCCGGAUAACAUCCCCGGAUCAAAGGUGUGAUUCCGCCCUAGGAGCAGACUGCGUCCUACUAGCUAGUUGGUGGGGUAAUGGCCCACCAAGGCAAUGAUGGGUAGCGGGUGUGAGAGCAUGACCCGUCUCACUGGGACUGAGACACUGCCCAGACACCUACGGGUGGCUGCAGUCGAGAAUCUUCGGCAAUGGGCGAAAGCCUGACCGAGCGAUGCCGCGUGCGGGAUGGAGGCCCUCGGGUUGUAAACCGCUGUCGUAGGGGAGGAAGGUUCCGUGAAGAGCGGAAUUUGACCUAUCCUAGGAGGAAGUACGGGCUAAGUUCGUGCCAGCAGCCGCGGUAAU
rnacentral:rRNA from 1 species